UACGUAGGCAGCAAGCGUUUUUCGGAGUUACUGGGCGUAAAGGGUGUGUAGGCGGUUCUUCAAGUUUGGUGUGAAAUCUCCCGGCUCAACUGGGAGGGUGCGCCGAAUACUGAGGGACUCGAGUGCGGGAGAGGAAAGUGGAAUUCCUGGUGUAGCGGUGAAAUGCGUAGAUAUCAGGAGGAACACCGGUGGUGUAAACGGCUUUCUGGACCGUAACUGACGCUGAGACACGAAAGCGUGGGUAGCAAACAGG
rnacentral:rRNA from 1 species